rnacentral:rRNA from 1 species
UACGUAGGGGGCAAGCGUUGUCCGGAUUUAUUGGGCGUAAAGAGCGUGUAGGCGGCCUGAAAGGUCAGCUGUGAAAACUCGAGGCUCAACCUCGAGACGUCGGUUGAAACCAUCUGGCUAGAGUCCGGAAGAGGAGUGUGGAAUUCCCGGUGUAGCGGUGAAAUGCGCAGAUAUCGGGAAGAACACCCGUGGCGAAGGCGGCACUCUGGGACGGUACGGACGCUGAGACGCGAAAGCGUGGGGAGCGAACAGG